rnacentral:rRNA from 1 species
AUUGAACGCUGGCGGCAUGCUUUACACAUGCAAGUCGAACGGUAACAGGCCGCAAGGUGCUGACGAGUGGCGAACGGGUGAGUAAUGCAUCGGAACGUGCCCAGUCGUGGGGGAUAACGCGGCGAAAGUUGCGCUAAUACCGCAUACGAUCUAUGGAUGAAAGCGGGGGACCGUAAGGCCCCGCGCGAUUGGAGCGGCCGAUGUCAGAUUAGGUAGUUGGUGGGGUAAAGGCUCACCAAGCCGACGAUCUGUAGCUGGUCUGAGAGGACGACCGGCCACACUGGGACUGAGACACGGCCCAGACUCCUACGGGAGGCAGCAGUGGGGAAUUUUGGACAAUGGGCGCAGGCCUGAUCCAGCAAUGCCGCGUGCAGGAAGAAGGCCUUCGGGUUGUAAACUGCUUUUGUACGGAACGAAACGGUCCUGGUUAAUACCCGGGGCUAAUGACGGUACCGUAAGAAUAAGCACCGGCUAACUACGUGCCAGCCGCCGCGGUAAGAC